CUGGUGGAUGCUACCAGUAGCAUUUGCUUGUCUCAAAGAUUAAAGCAUGUAUGUCUAACAAGUAUGCAUGGCUGAGACAGUGAAACUGCAAAUGGCUCAGUAAAUUGGUUAAUCCCUUUGGUCACCCAUUCCUGUCCUAUUUGGAUGAUAACUUGUAAUUCUAGAGCUAAUACAUGCUGGUGGAUUCUGAAUCCCCUUGGGAUGCAUGCAUUUAUCAGAUCAAAACCAACGCUGUCAACCUCCCCCUGGCCAUGUCAGGUAUGUGGGCAGCAGUGGCUUUGGUGACUCAGGACCACCUUGGGCUGAUCACACACACCCCUGCGGUAUCAGUGACCCAUUCAAAGUCUGCCUUAUCAAUUUUUUUGUGUGUUUUUGUAUUUUUUAGGGCUGCACUCACAGCAUAUGGAGGUUCCCAGGCUAGGGGUCUAAUCAGAGCUGUAGCUGCCGGCCUUCGCCAGAGCCACAGCAACGCCAGAUCCAAGCCAUGUCUGUGACCUACACCACAGCUCACGGCAAUGCUGGAUCCUUAACCCACUGUGCAAGGCCGGGAAUCGAACCCUCAAUCUCAUGGUUCCUAGUCAGAUUCGUUAACCACUGAGCCACGACGGGAACUCCUGCCCUAUCAACUUUUGAAUGCAGUUACUGUGCCUCACAUGGUGACCACAAAAGAUGCAGGAUCAUAGUUUGAUUCCAGAGAAGGAACAUGAGAAAUGGCUACCACUUCCAAAGAAGGCAGCAGGGGAACAAAUUAACCACUACUGACUGAGGGAGGCAGUGACAAAAUAUAAGAAUACAGGACUCUUAAUAUUAUAAAAAUGGCCAUACUAUCCAAAGCAAUCU
rnacentral:ncRNA from 1 species